rnacentral:rRNA from 1 species
CGUAAGGCGCCGAAUGAGUCAUUAAAAAAUUAACAUCAUCCGAUCCCUAGUCGGCAUAGUUUAUGGUUAAGACUACGACGGUAUCUGAUCGUCUUCGAUCCCCUAACUUUCGUUCUUGAUUAAUGAAAACAUCCUUGGCAAAUGCUUUCGCAGUAGUUAGUCUUCAAUAAAUCCAAGAAUUUCACCUCUGACAAUUGAAUACUAAUGCCCCCAACUAUCCCUAUUAAUCAUUACGUCAAUCCUAGAAACCAACAAAUAGGAUCGAACGUCCUAUUCGUUAUUCCAUGCUAAUGUAUUCAAGCGUGAGCCUGC